UUCUCUUCUAUUCGAGAGAGACAACAGCUCUUUUUUUUUUCCUUCAUCACCACCACGCCACUUCCAUUACCACCACAGAUCUACCACCACCAUCCACUACUUCCAUCACCACAAGAAGACCUUCUUCAUAUUCUUUUUCUUCAUUGACAUGUCUAAGUUUUAUGUAUGUUGGGAAUCUAAACUCUAAUGUUAACUGAAACCCUAAAAAUUAUCUCGAUCGAGCUCUAAUUCUACCACUACUACCAACACCUUCUUAUUAUGUUUACAGAAACCCUAAAAAUAGUCACCAGUUGAUUCACGCACAACUCCUUCAACAAUCAACAUCAGGAGAAGUUGGUUUACUCGGUCAACCAACACCUUUCUUAUUGUAUGCUGGUGCUGUUAGUGGUUUGGAGGUGCUGUUGCUGCUACAAGGUGGUGGUAGUGGUGGUCGUCUCUUAACAAUUACAUGGCUGAACAUGUUAAAGCUCAAAGGGACAGCUCGACUGAAACAAAAUUCUUUUUCAGAGAAUAGAUAAGGAUGUUGCUGAAUCAUAUGUGAUGAUACAAUUACUACCGCCUUAUGCAUUCUAAAGUUUGCGGAGAGCACUUCAUUUUCUUCACAAUAUUUGUUUGUUAGCUCAACUCUGGUUCGUUUCCUUGUGCAGUAUGUGGUGGGGAAUGAAUGACUUGUGCAGGAUGUUGGGACCAAAGAUCAAGGUGUCACUGACUUCCUUAAAAAGUUCUACACCACCAACUACUUCUAAAUCUGAGAACAGGACCAUCCAUCCUCCAAUAUUGUUCUGUGUUAGCCAUUAUGAUUCAAAAUUUUAUCGCGUUUUUCUUUUGUUCUUGCACUUCUUGUCUAUUUUGUGAGUUGAGGUAAUUAUUUGGGUCACUCUUAGGUGCCAUGAGAGAAUAUGAAUUGGUAGAUUCUGAUUCAGUUAUUUUCGGUUACGUUCAUGCUUAAAUAUGAAUUAUUAGAAUCAGAUUUUGAAGUGUUUUGUGAAAUGGGUAUUACUGGUAUGUUGAGUUCAAAUUUUUAAUUUCAUUCUUUUAAUUGAAAAUUCCGGUUUGUUUACAUCUUCUAGAUUCUUUUUUGUAGAUUGAAUUCUAGUGGAUUAUAUACCAUUUCCAGGCCUUGAAUGAUUACAGAUGGAUUUACUGUUAGUGGUGGAGUGUGCUGGUGGUGUUUGUGAUGCUGAUGCUGAUGGUGCUGUUAGUGUUAGUUUGGAGGUGAAAUUGUUGGUGUUACUGCUACCUGAAGGUGGUGGUGGUCUCUUAAUAAUUAUAUAAACAUUGAGGGAUUUAUUUGAUAAUUUGCAUGGACAGCGAGAACCACCUGUUUCUUGCAUCAAUGAAUCAUAUGCGGAGGUAGUGAUGUGCGAUCUUAAUCUAAGUUCAGAGCUGAAUUCUGCACUAAUGAAAGUCACAGUCAUUCUUUGAUUUGAAGAACACAAACAAUGAACUCAAAAGUGAAUUUAAAGGACCUUUACGUUAACCAAAAAGUCCAAGAAGAGAAGCUUGCUGCCGGUCAAAGUGUGGGUUGGAUGGAUGGCUGUAAUGUUGAAGACUUAAGAAUUUAGGAAUGAUUAGGAGCCUUGGUUUGUCUCAAACUGAAACUCUUAACAAGAAAUCAGUGAAGAUUCGAAACAAGAAAACAACGAGAAAUGGUACGAUUGGCUAUAAAAGGGGUUGUAAACAAUCUGAAGAAUUAUAUAAAAAUGAUUGGCUAUUCGUGUUUGCUAUUCAUGGAUGCAAUACAACAGAUGUUUUGUUACUGCUGGAAAGCAUUUCUAAAUUUGGCAUGGUUCACCAAGACUUUGAUCAAAGAAUACAGGAAGAAAGGUGAACCAAGGUAUGUAUUCAUAUUUUCUUGAUUGACGCCACACUUGAAACAGAAAGCAUGUUAUAUUUUCACUAAUAUGCUUCAAAACGAAAUGUUUUCACUAAUUAUGGGUGCCAUGCUAGGUAUAGAAUUUGAUAACUCAGGUAUAGGACUUGACCCUAGCCUUAGCCUUGAGUUGAAUCUUAUAUAGGUGUUAAAUGUUAGGGAUUAAGGAUUGUGGUUUUAUUUGACCGAGUUAAUGCAUACAAGUGAUAUUGGAAGCUUAUGGCCUUGCUUAAUUUUCAGUUUAAACUGAUAGAUUAGUCAAGAAGACUGCAAUCCUGAAAUGUUCCCAUGUUAAGUGUAUUUGUGUUUGAACGUUUAGAAGCUCAACCGUAAAAUUGUACUUCAUUAAUCCAUUUUACUAAAUGAAUAUCUACUACCAAUGUUAAUGUGACAUAAUGUUAAAAUUUGACAAUUCUCAUACGGCAAUUAGCUGUGGAUAACCCAACCCUGCAGAUGGAGGUGGCUAUGUUGCAGUAGGUUGUUCCGAAGAAGGACAACUACUCUCAAAGCCGGAAAGUUGCUAUUCAGAAUGUGGGAUCCACUAUUUCCUAAUUAAGUGGAAUAUUUACACAGUUGGCAACAAUGGUUGCACAUCAAGGAGAACUGGUUAUCAGGUCUCUUCUUCCUUCUGCAAGGAGAACAACUCAUAUCCCCCUUGUAAUGCUCCAUUCAGUGUGUCAAGAUACGAGUUAUACAAACACUACUAUUUGUAUUUGGCAUAAACACAUUUCUGCAAGUUUUGUUUGGAACCAGGUUACCGGCAGUCAUUGGUGGUUCUUCUACCUAUAUUGUACUUAUCCUUUGCAUUAUCGGAGACUCAUCUCUACAACGAAUCACUGAACCUCAUGAAAGAUUUUUACACAGUAUGAUGGAAACUCAAGGAGUCCUGAUUGUAGCUGCAAGCUUACAGAUCAUAGUAUCAUACUGGGAUAUAGUCAAUUCUUCGUGAUUGAAUCACAGGUUUUUCAGCCCUCUCGGUAUGGCACCUGUAGUUGGAUUGGUUGGUUUGGGGUUAUUUGAGCGUGUUAACAUGGGUUAAUAUGCUGCAUGAGGUAUGAAUUAUCUUCGUUAUUGUAACCCGCCAAUUGUUAAUUGUGAUUUGUCAUCUAAUCUGCUGGUUAACAAGAACUGGACUGUGAAGGUGAGCAACAUUUUUCUCCCUUUUUGUUACAAAGUAAAAAACACAACCGAGCUUGAGCAGUUAGAAAAGAUUCCAAAAUUCAAGGCUAGGCCAUUGAAUGAAAAGGUGACGAAGCCUCGGGAGUUCCACUUUGCAAUUGAUGAAUGGAUUCCUCCUUGCAAGAACAGUUUUUGAGUUGUUUGACAAGGUACAGACAACAUAAUCACUUUUCUCUUACAACUUUCAUUAAACUCAGAACGACAUCGGAAUGAGCAGCUAUAUUUUGGGGAUAUAUGAAUUGGUCCCUCUAUUUUGUAAGGUGAAGCUAUGUAAAAGAAUUUGAUGUUCAAUAAUGAACUUAGUCCAACUUUUCAUACUUUGAACUAAUAAUUUUAGUCCAGAUUGUAAAUUGAAUUUGAGCUCCAUUUGAGAUAAUCCUUUGUGUAAUUUGAGACCAAUGAAUCAAUGAAUGUUAAAUUGAAUGAUUA